rnacentral:rRNA from 12 species
GGGCAUCCAUACCGUCCUGCUAGUGCCCGAUCCCGUCAGAUCUCAGAAGUUAAGCAGGGCUGGGCUGUUUAGUACUCGGAUAGGAAACCACCAUGGAAGACCAGGCCACUAAACUCA